UGGCUCAGUGGUAGAGCAUGGUGUGUGCAACGCCAGGGUGGUGGGUUCGAUUCCCAC
rnacentral:tRNA from 1 species